ensembl:lncRNA
AGAAAAGAACAAGAUAACAAUGCUUUGCAGUAUUCCAGAAAGAAAGGGAUAUUUGUCAAAAUCUAAGCUUGUAUCAUGGCAGUAAUGCACAGGAUCUAUGGUUCUGUGUUUUCCCCACCCUCUGCAGGCAGAAUUAAUAACUCUAGCAAUAGUGUUGGUGAUUAGAUGGUGCACCAAAUAAAUAUGUGUGCCCAUUCAUAGCUGAAGAGUGCUUACCCCCUGCAUGUUCACACAGCUAUCAGCAGAGCCCAAUAGAAGCUGAGAAAAAAAAUGCAAAAGAAAAAGUAAAAUGGAACAGUGACUGACAGUAUGUUUAUUCUGGUCUGUGACAUCUUAGCUAAUACUGUUAGGAUGUGUUGUAUUUGAGGGAUUCGUUUGGUGUAGCUCACAAAAAAUCUGGGAAGCAGGGCUGUUUUGCACAAGCCCCCAAACCAUUCGGUGCCUGCCCUGCGAACGCUGGCUGUGUGAGCAGCCGGUCCUGCUGUACUGUUUGCUGACGUUGUUCCCUCUCCUCAGGAAACCUUGGGAGCCGUUCUGCCUUGGGCGGUCUCCUGAAGAUGUGUGAUGGUCUUGGACUGUGCAUCAGUGACCAGCAGUUCGUGUUGCCUCAGACCCAUGCUGUGCAGGGGCUGGUGCCUGCACCGGGAGCAGCACAGGGACACUGGGGGCAAAGCGCCACACCCCUGGGUUCCCCGAAAUGCAAGGAACAGGAGGCUUCUCCCAGCAGCACAGGAGAACUGAGAUGAAUGAAACCUCAUUCAAAAGGCAAUGAGUUUUGGCCAUGUCAGUUAAACCCACCUAAAAGAAGGAGAAAGAAAGAGAGAAAUGACUGUUCAGUGAACCUUAGGAGAGUUAUGAAGUUAUACAACCUCAGAAGGAUUUUAGGCAGUUUUAUACUGCCUGGCUCAGCUCAUAUUUAUAUCAUCUGUCUCAGUGCCUGGAAUGAACUAAGCUAUGUGCUUGAUAGAGAAAAGUACCUGUACUGACUGAUGUAUCUAAGAAAUCCACUUUGGACAUGGCUGGAUGAACCAGAAAAGAGGAUGAUAGCUGCACAAACCUUGCAAUGAUAUAUUUCAAGUAAGCAAGAACUAGAUAAUACUUUAAUAAAUAAAUAAAUAAAUAAAUAAAAGUACAUGAAGGAAAACAAAGAAUCACUAAAGAAGUAAGACUUUUUUUAAAAGUUAAACACUUCCUUGUAAACUUAGUUAUGUCUAAAUUACUGCUUGGACUUGGAGGAGGAAAACCUUCAGCAAUCUGGAGAGUUGUGCUGCAAAUAUAACUGAUAUUCCAGAUUAAACCAUAAGCAUAUUAGUGUAAUUUUCUGGAUUUUGAAUAUGUGAGAUACUCAAAAAGUCUUCCAAGAACCUGGUGAUACUCUGCAGUGUAAUAUUCUGCCAGUGAAGAUAAAUCUACAGUUUCACCUGGUAAGAUUUUUCAUCUUGUUUUGAACAGCAUAAUUUACCAUACUCAGCUUGCUGUAUUGCAUUCAUAUAUGUACAGAAGAAAAAAAUCACAUCUUUACUGGAAUGAGGCACACUUUGCCUCUCUUCACAGAGAGUCUCUCAAUUCUUCCUUGCAGUUGAGAGAUAACAAUUUGGGAUGGUGUACCAGGGACCCAUAUUCAGGCUAGAUGCUAGUCCAUGUUUGAUCCAUUAUCAGAAGACUGGAUGCGUUUUCUCCCAGGCCAAUUAUAUAAGAUGCAUCUUUUCUGCAAGCAAGGAUAACCCAUGCUCACUCUGUGUGUAAUAAGUGGUGCUGGAGUAAAGUGCAUUUGAUGUUAAAAUUCUGGGACUGAAGUGGUUCCCAGUAGAGCCCAAAGUGUGCACAAGGAUGGCUGAGAAGAAAAUGUCUUUUCUUUGCAAAGAUAUUAUGCAUGGAUCACUGUAUAGUUAUUGUGUUAUUGAAUUAGCAAGGUGCUUUUAUAGUUAAAUCAUUAUCACUGACUGUCCUAAUCCUUAAAUUUUUUAAAAUAUAAUAAGUUUUAUUACUUCAUUGUCAUUUAUUUCAGCUUAUCUUGUUAUUCUACUGAAAAACUGUGGAGAAAGCACAAGUAUUUUCAAAUGUUUUUAAGAAUUUUGCCUCUUUAAAUAUAAAUUCAGAUGAAGUUACAAGCACGUCCUUAAGAAUAUAAAAAGUUUUAAGAAGUUGCUGAUGGAUUUAUGCUUAUGGAGCUGAAAACAUUUAAAUCUUUUAUGGAAAAUGUUUUAAACUGAUUUAGCUGUGGGAAAAAUUGUGCCACAAGUUUCCUCAGUGUAAAUUUGGAGUAGCUUUAUCAGCAGACUGCUGAAUUAAAACAAAUUGGAACAGAAAGUUUGGGUUUGUGCCUCGGUUUGGUUCACAUUGGACAGGUUGUGAAUCUAGUAGCUUUGGCAGAACCCUUUUACAGAAGCAAAAUAAGCAAAUGUUAUGGAGUCACUUGUUUGGCUAAUUAAUUACUGUAUUUCAUAAAUCUUCAAGGAUCAAUUGUCUUCAUAUAAUUAAAUAAAUCAUUUUAAUUUGCCUAUGUCUAUGAAUUCCUGGAAAUUAUUUUCCCGCUCCACAAUAGCAGACUGUGCUUGCACAAAAUCUUCCUGCAGAAACGUAUCUGCAAGGGCAGAGUACAGCACAUUUAUAUCUUGUAGGUGUGGCUUCACCCAUGCAGUGACAUUUCAUAGAUCAAACACACUCAGGAGUGCUUUCUUUAUGCACAGUACAGGUUAUAUAUAGUCAGAGAUAACAUUUAUAAAGGCUAUAACAUGACAGAGUAUAUAACAGACUACAUUGUGGCCUUCUUAAUCAUCUGGUGAUGUUAUGAAUGGAGACCACAGAACCUACCCCAUAAAUUUUGUAUGCAAAUCAUCUCAGCUUGCUACUUGGGAGAUAAUGUGAAGAGACUUUUGAGGUAUGGAAAAUCUUGUAUACAGACAUCCUUAGAUGUGCAUAAAUGAGGAGCAAAUGCAGCUUCUGGGAACUAAAGCUGAUUCUUGCAUCUAGCUUUUAUCUCAGGAGCGUCCUGUUUUCCACCUGGACAUGGUGCCCAGGUCUCUCCUGGAUGGUCAGUGCCUCUGUGUAUGCCUUGGCACAGUGGGCAUCACAGCUCCCAUCUCAGCUUGGGUCUCCUGUGGCAGUGAUACAGAUACAUGAUCUUGGACAAAGCACUUGAUUUUUCCUUGCUUUCUUUUCUCCCUGAUACACUUUCUGCCAGGCUGAUUAGAAGAAACUGCCUAUUUUUCCACUGAGCUUUGGCUGUAGAUUUUGCAAUGCAGGUAGGGACUUAGAAUCAUUUUCCAGGUGUAAUACCUGUAAUACCUGCCAAACAUCAACAACCAAUAAAACAACGAACCAAAACCAAACAGAGAAACCAAAGCUAGUUCAAAGCUGGAAGAGGCUGUGAUCUUUCAAGAAGUAAAGACAUCUUCCAGUUCGUAACAUUGUGUGCUGCUGUGGCUACAUCACUCUUGGCAGAUGAGCAACUACUGCAGCAACCGCAAGGUGGUGGGAACAAGACAGAUACUGCUCAGCUCAGAGACAGGCACCUGAGCUCCGAGUGUGGGAACACAUUUGAGGGAGAAAGAAGACCCAUUUUAAAGUAAAAAUGCAUCUUGAAAUGGUCCAGGGAGAAGGAAAGCAGCGGAGCCAGGACAGGCAGUUUCCUGGAUUUCAGCAUGUUGCUCUGGGUGCUCACUUGAUAUUUCUCUUGAAAUAAAGUUUAGUUAGAUUCAGAUAUGAUGAUGUGUGUUGUUAUUUUUUUGUUUUUCUCUGACCAUUCAUUUUUCCCAAGUCACUUCUCUGAACACCAGUUUGCACACCAUCAGAGCCGAGUCCAAUGAGCUUCCUACCAAGGCCAGCUAAGCCUUCUGAGCUCUGGAUGGAAACCCUGGGUACACAGGACACCUAAACCUGCACAGUGCAUUUUGCUCAUUUUGCUCUCAUUUCUGUUCAGUCUUAUUAAUUCUAAAUCCCUCUUCCUUUGUCUUUUAAAUGCUGUUUGUACCAUUUUAUCAUUGCUCUUCAUUUUUCUCAUCCAUAAAAAACAAUAAAAUAUUAAUGUGGCAUAAAAAAUCUGUCUGUGCUGGUAGUCUCCUGAAACUAUUGAUGAUUCCAUGAAUAAAACAUGAAUCUUUAUUUUGCUUGUAGUAUAUCAGACUUCAUGUGUUUAUUAUAUUUUCUGUGAAGUAAGCUUGUCCAAAAGAGCCUUUGUUUGUUUGCCUGCUUUUAUUUUAGGUACCCUUGAUUUAUUAACCUUUAGAAAAGGUAAUGUCUGAUAUGGCCUUACAUGAAACCAUGAAACAUGUAACUUUCAUUUGGAUAAAUUUUGUAGUCUAUCUCGUCUAGAAAAAGAAAGGAAACAAACAAACAAACAAACAAACAAACAAAAAACCAACAAAAAACAAACAAAAAAAACAGCAGCAAAAACACCUUUUUUUCAUCCUUGUGAUGUUGAGCUGCACCUUCCAUUACUACCUUGGCCUAAGAAAGUAUUUUAAAUAUAAUGAGAGAUGUUCAAUAUAAAAACAACCACCCCCCAAUUCCCC